GUUCCACGGUAAAAGAUGGGCAUGCGUCCUAUUAGCUAGAUGGUAAGGUAACGGNUUACCAUGGCUACGAUAGGUAGGGGUCCUGAGAGGGAGAUCCCCCGCACUGGUACUGAGACACGGACCAGACUCCUACGGGAGGCAGCAGUGAGGAAUAUUGGACAAUGGGCGCAAGCCUGAUCCAGCCAUGCCGCGUGCAGGAAGAAGCAUCUAUGGUGUGUAAACUGCUUUUGUACGGGAAGAAACACUCCUACGUGUAGGAGCUUGACGGUACCGUAAGAAUAAGGAUCGGCUAACUCCGUG
rnacentral:rRNA from 1 species